UACGUAGGGGGCAAGCGUUGUCCGGAUUUAUUGGGCGUAAAGAGCGUGUAGGCGGCCAGAUAGGUCAGCUGUGAAAACUCGAGGCUCAACCUCGAGACGCCGGUUGAAACCAUUUGGCUAGAGUCCGGAAGAGGAGAGUGGAAUUCCUGGUGUAGCGGUGAAAUGCGCAGAUAUCAAGUGGAACACCAGUGGCGAAGGCGAGUCUCUGGACAUUUCCUGACGCUGAGGCACGAAAGCCAGGGGAGCAAACGGG
rnacentral:rRNA from 1 species